AAAGAUUCACCAAGGACUCCAGUACCUGGGGCCAGGCAGGAGAAGGGAGCAUGGCUCUUUGGGGUGGCUGCAGCAGCCUGGCCCCUCCAGCGGCUGCACGGGAAAGAAGGAAAGCUCCGUAAGGCUGACCGGGAAAGAAGCGAGGAGCUCUGGGGGCUGGGUGGAAAGUCCCGUACUCAUCAGGGCCAGGGAGGCCACAGAAACUACCUCACGCCAGCUUCCCAGGGGUACAGCGGCUAGAAUGGACCUCGAGGAGGCCCCUCCCAAGACUCCCGUCUCCCGGGUUCCACCGCAGUGGGGGCAGCCACAGCUGCCUCUGCAAUGCUUGUAGGACCCACACACAGUGGGGCACGGAGGGGCAGAGGCCGCAGCCCCUUUGCCAUGAAUCCAAAGAACCUGGAGUGAUUCUGCAGAGACGUUCGAACCAGAGCGACUCCAUCUUGAACAGGGGCUGGGUAAAAUGAGGCCGAGACCGGCUGGGCCGCAUUCCCUGGAGGUCAGGCAUUCUUAGUCACAGGAUGAGAUCAGCACAAGAUACAGAUCACAAAGACCCCGCUGAUAAAACAGGAUGCCGUGAAGAAGCCGGCCCCAAACCACCAAAACCAAGACAGCCAGUCCUCACUGCUCAUUAUGUGCUGAUUAUAAUACAUUAGCAUGAGACACGCCCACCAGCACCAGGACCAUUUACAGUUGCCAUGGCAAUGCCGGGAAGUUACCCUAGAUGGUCUAAAAGGGGGAAGAACCCUCACUUCCGGGAAUUGCCUGCCCCUUUCCCGGAAAAGUCCGGAAUAAUCCACACCAUGUUUAGUACAUAUCAAGAAACAACAAUAAGUGUUCUCGUCGGAGUAGCCCAGGCCGCUGCUCAGCCUAUGGGGCAGCCCUUCUCUUAUUCCUUUACUUUCCUAUUAAACUUGCUUUCAGUUU
rnacentral:lncRNA from 1 species